CCUACGGGCGGCAGCAGUGAGGAAUAUUGGUCAAUGGGCGCGAGCCUGAACCAGCCAAGUCGCGUGCGGGAGGACGGCCCUACGGGUUGUAAACCGCUUUUGCCGGGGAGCAACGGGCGUCACGUGUGGCGCCACUUAGAGUACCCGGCGAAAAAGCAUCGGCAAACUCCGUGCAAGCAGCCGCGGUAAUACGGAGGAUGCGAGCGUUAUUCGGAUUUUUUGGGUUUAAGGGGUGCGUAGGCGGAUCGUUAAGUCAGUGGUCAAAUGUAGGGGCUCAACCCCUUCCCGCCAUUGAAACUGGCGCUCUUGAGUGGAAGAGAAGUAUGCGGAAUGCGUGGUGUAGCGGUGAAAUGCAUAGAUAUCACGCAGAACCCCGAUUGCGAAGGCAGCAUGCCGGCUUCCGACUGACGCUGAAGCACGAAAGCGUGGGGAUCGAACAGGAUUAGAUACCCGUGUAGUC
rnacentral:rRNA from 1 species